GCAAAAGUACUCUAUCGCAGCCU
rnacentral:siRNA from 1 species